GAUGAACGCUAGCUACAGGCUUAACACAUGCAAGUACGGAGGGGCAGCAUGGACAUAGCUUGCUAUGUUUGAUGGCGACCGGCGCGACGGGUGCGAACACGUAUCAAUCUGCCGUUACUCGGGAUAGCCUUNUAGGAAAGGAAGAUUAACUACCCGAUAGUAUCCAUUAGCGGCAUCGCUAUGGAUUAAAGAUUUAUCGGUAACGGAGUGAGGAUGCGUACGAUUAGCUGGUUGGCGGGGGUGACGGCCCACCAAGGCGACGAUCGUUAGGGGUUCUGAGAGGAAGGUCCCCCCACACUGGAACUGAGACACGGCCCAAACUCCUACGGGAGGCAGCAGUGGGGAAUAUUGCACAAUGGGGGAAACCCUGAUGCAGCAACGCCGCGUGAAGGAUGAAGGUUUUCGGAUCGUAAACUUCUAUCAACAGGGAAGAAACAAAUGACGGUACCUGAAUAAGAAGCCCCGGCUAACUACGUG
rnacentral:rRNA from 1 species